CCCGCGUCCUUACCCUGCCGACGGCUGCUCGGCUCCGGCCCGCGGCGGCGGCCCCAGAGCCGAGGACCGGGGUGGGCUCGCGCUCUUCGUCACUGGAGAAGUCCGGGGGCCCCUUGCUGUUGGUGCCGGCGGGGAGCGGCGGCCGGUUGCGAGCCGUGAGGUGCUGCAGGUAGAGCUGGACGUACACGUCUUUGCGCUGCUCCCCGGCCGGCAGCGUCACAUUGUUGGCGACCAACUCACUCUUCAACUUGUCUUUUGUCAGGACCGAGGGGUCUUCCAGGAACUCCGGCAUCUCGGGGAUCUGCGAAGCCCCCUCCCCACAGCCUUUGCCGCCGCCGCUCACGCCGGCGCGCUUGCUCCUGGCCGGGGACCGCGCUGCCGCCUCCGAGCCUCACGGCUCCUGCCCGGGAAGAGCGCUGCGGAGCGGAACAAAAACUCGCGGACACAAAGCCAAGCCAGACCCGGACACAAAAGACCCCAGAGCCGAACUACGAACCAACUGCGGCCAAGCUGGAAGCUCGCACCAACCCCAGCCCACACACUACAGGCAGGAGGCGAGCAGCCUGCUUCGCCCACGCCCCAAGAACGCGCGCCGCCAUUGGCGGGCGACGGGAGGAAGCGCGGCGGUGAUUGGCGAGACGGCUCGCGCGGGUUCCAUUAGCCGCCGCGCUGAGCGAGAGGAGGUAGAAACGCAGUUUAAAAGGCGCUGGGGCGGGAGCCGAGGCUCCCGGCCCGCUUCUGUUUUCGUUUUCUCCACCCUUCCCCUUAGACGCCGAUAAGGGACAGGUCGUACUGCUUUUGUGCGCCGUUUCCUCUCCCUCCCCCAGCUUGAGAAGCAGCUUUCGUCUCUGGGGUCGAUCGCCUACGAACGCGCCGAAUUCCACGCCAGUGUGAGGACCCUUGGCUGGGCCUUUCUUCCUCCCGGGACACUGAAGCUCCAAGAGUAGCCGCAGCCUUGCCUUCCCCAAACGCUAGCCCUGAAGGGGAAGAAAAGAAGCGAGGCUUG
rnacentral:lncRNA from 1 species